rnacentral:lncRNA from 1 species
ACAUCAUUUUCAAAGCAUUAAUUAUCAGAGCUUUAAUUAAGUUAAGAUCAUCACGAAAUGAGUCUGUUUUAUGCAGAUUGUUCAUUCCAUUGACAAGCUGGGGAUAUGGCAUCGUCUACCUGUUUUCUUAGGGCUAUUGUAUCUGGCUAUCAGACGUCACCUUCACCAAGAGUACAACCUCUUCAACGUUGGAACAACACCAACUGGGAUUAGGUUCAACCAUUCAGAUUUUCCAUACAGAACAGCUGAUGGAAAAUAUAAUGAUCNUUUCAAUGAAGUUGCUGGCAGCCAAGGAACUUUCUUUGGCAGAAACAUGCUUCCUGUUGAUCAGAAGAAAAAGGUCAACAAUCAUAGCUAGUUAUAAUAAUUUCAUAAAAUAUCAGUGUUUUUACUGCUAUAGUUUGUUGACUUGUUCUUAUAUGAUUUUGAUCCUUUGAGGAUAGUGAAUUUUGAAGGCAUAGUUUUGUGUGUGUGCAGCUAUUGAAGCCUGAUCCAAUGGUGGUAGCAACAAAACUACUAGCUAGAAGGACAUAUAAGGACACAGGGAAGCAAUUCAACGUGAUUGCAGCUUCUUGGAUUCAGUUCAUGAUUCACGAUUGGAUCGAUCAUCUUGAGGAUACCAAACAGGUCAAUCAAUUUCUAAAACCAUGAUGAUGUUUUUUAUUGUGAUAAUAAGAAGGUAUUUAAUUUAAUUUGUUCAUGAAAUUUUGAUACAUAUUUACAUACAUAUAUAUGCAGAUUGAACUGACUGCACCAAAAGAAGUUGCAGGCCAAUGCCCUCUAAAAUCUUUCAAAUUCUUCAAAACUAAGGAAAUUCCCACUGGAUUCUAUGAGAUAAAAACGGGAUCAUCGAACAUUCGAACACCAUGGUGGUAAGAUUUCUACUGCAGUUUACCUCAGCCAAAAGUUAAAGGUUAAUGUUGAUAAGUUUAUUAUUCCUACUUCUUAUACUGAGUUUAUGACUAACAUAAUUUCAGAAAAAACAGUUUUUAAACGAGGAGCAUAUCUCACUUAUAUAUUAUAAAAGUUUUCGAUAUGUACUAAGUAAUGAUACUGACAGAAAAUUAUAAUUUGAAAAAGGAAAGAAAAGAUAACUUAGAUGAAAAAAAUGGCGGCGUAUAUGCAUGUAGAAAAUUCAAUGCGUGGGGGCACGAUAGCGUUUACAUCUAACAAAAUGGCGGCGAAAGAUAUAAGAUAUGUAAAAAAAAGGUUAAAAUUCAUUAUUCUAAAUUAUGGAUUUUUGUUAUGUUUGUAAUAUUGAUCAAAUAUAUAAAUUUUCGUAUAGACCUAAGAAAAACUCGUCGAGUUAAGUCAGAACAAAAUAUAUUUUGAAAUAAAAGAAUGAGUAUAAGAGUAUGAUUUUUUUUUUUUUUAAAUAUCAUAUCUUUAUAAAAUUAUAUGAACUUUAGGAUUCAUGUCAUAAAAAUAUAAUGAUAUAAUAAAUUAUAUACCAACAAAAUAAAAACUUAUCUUAAAUAAAUAAUAUUAAUAAUAAUAAUAUGAGAUCUUAUCAAUAAUAAUAUUCAAAUCUACUAGAUUUGUCAUGAUUAUAAGAAAUAUUAGUUUUAGUAAAAGUAAUAUCACACUCAUAUUUAUUUGACACAUUUAAUUUGAGUAAAUUGAUCUUAAAAAAGUGAAUUUUUGUAAUUUAAAAAAAAAUAAAAAUAAAAGGUAAGAAAAAGUAGUAUGAAAUGAAUGUAAAAAAAUUAUGUAGGUUAAAGUAUAUUGGACUAAUGUAAAAGUUAAAAGUAGCUGAUAUGAAAGUUAUUGGUAUAUAGUCUCUGAGAGAAGAUGUUUAAGUUGCAUGGAUUUGGUUGGUGAAAUAGGGAUGCAAGUGCUGUGUAUGGAAGCAAUGGAGAAGUUUUACAGAAAGUGAGGACUUUCAAAGAUGGAAAGCUAAAGAUAUCAAAGGAUGGAAACCUUCUGCAUAACGAAAAUGGAACAGCAGUUGCAGGUGACAUCCGCAACAGUUGGGCUGGUGUUUCAACUCUGCAGUCCCUUUUCAUUCAAGAACACAAUGCAGUUUGUGAUUCUCUCAAGGUAUAAUAAUCAUAAAUUUCAUCAUGGAAAAAAACAAUAUUAACCAAUCUUAUUUUAAAAACAAUCUCAUUAAUGAAAAGAAAAUACUAACAAAAUACCUGUUUUUAAUUGUACUGUUUCAGAAAUAUUACCCUCAAUUGAAUGAUGAAGAACUUUAUCGCCAUGCAAGAUUGGUGAUUUCAGCUGUGAUUGCAAAGGUUCACACCAUUGAUUGGACUGUGGAGCUUCUUAAAACUGAUACUCUACUUGCAGGAAUGCGUGCCAACUGGUAAGCCUCUCGACACCACACAAUUCUCUGACACAGUUUACAAAAAGAUUUAUCUACUGAAAUAUUUUCGAGCUGCUUUUUUUAAUUUAUAUUCAAAAUGUUUUUUUUUUAACGUAUAUAGGUAAAAAUGAAAAGCAUUUUACGUAUAAGAGACAAAAAAUUUGAAAAUUACAAUUAGAUCCACACGAUUUCAAAUAAAAAAAGUUGUGUCUUACAAUUUUAGGAAUUGACAAUUGAUUAGAAGGAAAAUGAUAUUUUGACAUCAAUUUUUUGAUAUCAUUUUGACACUGUACCCAUGUCAAAACGUGGUUGGACGAUUUCAAAUUAAAAAAACUGAAACAAUGGCAUAUUUGGAAGAAAAAAAUCAAAGUUUUUUUUUUUUUUUAAUUUGAAAUCGUCCAACCACAUUUUGAUACGUGUACAAUGUUAAAAUGGUGUCAAAAAAUUCGUGUCAAAAUAUCAUUUUCCAAAUUUGUAAUUGAUUACUAAGAGUGUAAACAAAAAAACUCUAUGGUAAUCGAUUAUACAGGUUAUAAUCUAUUUAUUUUUUGAAAUUAUUGUUUAUUUUUCAGGUAUGGACUAUUGGGGAAGAAGUUUAAGGAUACAUUCGGACAUGUUGGUGGGUCCAUCUUGGGAGGAUUUGUUGGUAUGAAGAAGCCAGAAAACCAUGGUGUCACCUACUCUUUAACAGAAGAAUUUACGAGUGUCUACAGAAUGCACCCUCUCCUACCUGAUAACCUGCAUCUGAGAGACAUAUCUGCAACUCCUGGGCCAAACAAAUCUCCACCAGUAAUCAAAGAGUACGAUAAUAAAAUCUUACCUAAACCUUUCUUUUCCCAAACUCAUUACUACAUCUGUUUCUAUUUAUAAUUUAUAAAAAUACUUAAACUAAUUCAUACCACUUAACUUGAUAUUGAAUUCUUCAAUAACUUAUAUUGUUUUUAAGAAUUGUUCUUACUUUUUAGAUUGAUAUAUAAAGUUAGAUUAUCUCAAUAAUUUGAAGCAUUUUUCAUUAUCUUUUACCAAAAUUUCUCUUUCCAUUCGGUAUUGUAGAAUCCCUAUGAAAAACUUGAUUGGACUACCAGGAGAGAAGACAUUAUCAGAAAUAGGAGUCGCAAGACAACUUGUGUCAAUGGGUCACCAAGCUUGUGGGGCAUUAGAGCUUUGGAAUUAUCCAGAGUGGCUAAGAGACCUUGUACCACAGAACAUGGAUGGCACAGAAAGGUCUGAACAUGUGGACCUGGCUGCUCUUGAAAGUAAGAUAUAUACAUACAUAUAUAUGUAAAAGUUUAUGUAUAGUUUUAAUAUUAAGAUAUAUCCUAUAUCUAGUUAUUAACCCUAAAAUUAUGAUGCAGUUUACAGGGAUAGGGAAAGGAAUGUGGCUAGAUACAACCAGUUUAGGAGGUCAUUACUGUUAAUACCUAUCUCAAAGUGGGAAGAUCUAACUGAUGAUAAGGAAGCAAUUAAAGUAUUGGAAGAAGUAUAUGGAGAUGAUGUUGAAGAGCUUGAUCUACUUGUAGGUCUCAUGGCAGAGAAGAAAAUAAAGGGUUUUGCAAUCAGUGAGACAGCUUUUGUGAUAUUCCUCCUCAUGGCAAGCAGGUAAAAGGAAUAACAUUAAAAUACCAAUAUUCUAAAGGAUUCAUUGUGUGUUUUUGGACAUUGUUUUGUGAAGUGAUUUUGAAAGGGAAUGAAUGAAACUGUUUUUGUGGAAUUGCAGGAGGCUGGAAGCUGAUAGGUUCUUCACAAGCAACUAUAAUGAAGAAACAUACACUAAAAAGGGACUUGAAUGGGUGAACACAACUGAGAGUUUGAAAGAUGUGAUUGAUCGUCACUAUCCUGAAAUGACACACAAAUGGUUGAACUCUUCUAGUGCUUUCUCUGUUUGGGAUUCACUUCCAAACUCACCCAAUCAUGUUCCUCUUUACCUUCGUGUUCCUCAUUAAUAUGUAAUUUCGAUAUUUAUGUGUUUUAUUUGGAUCUAUCUUUUGUUAAGUUUGAAUUAAUAUGCAUAUUUGUAUCUUGUAAAACACUAUGUUUCGACCAAUAUGUAUUCAGUGUACUGCGAAGAAGAAGAAUGCGAGAGAAGAGGGUCUGUGAAGAAGGAAAUGAACAGUGUAGGUUAAAACUAAAAUGCUCAGAGAAAACCUCGGUUUAUCAAAUAAGUGAUAGAAUCUCGGUUCAUCCAAAAACCAUAUCCUUCUCCAUUUUUCUAACAUAUGUUAAGAAUAAUAUAAUCAUCAAUGAGAUUAAUAAAUGCUAAAAAUAAUAUAAUUAAUAACUUAUACUGUGAGGAUUUUAAGAUUUUCUGAUACUGGGUGGUUCAACAUUGACAUAAAUUGCUCAUGUUGUAUGUUACUCAGAUAAAUAUUUUAUAAACUUAAUUAUACAUUUUAUUGCGUAAUUAUUAUUAUUAUUAUUAUUAUUGUAAUAUUAUGGUUUAUUAUUUUUAUAUUUUAUCUAAAUUGUGAACAUUUCCACAUUUUAAACAUCUGUUGAUUUUAACUAAUAAUAUGUAUCAUAAAAGAAGUUAAAAGUAAAAUUGAAUUACUUUUUAAAAUUAUGUCAUUUUGAUUUUUUUCAUAUAUUUUUAUGAAAUAUCAGCGCUUCAUUGAAAAAUUUAAUGAAUGAAAAUAAAAUAAAAAAUAAAAAAAAAAUCAUAAAAAAGUUUAGAGAUAAAAAUAAUUUAAGAUUUAACGGUAUAAAAGUGAAAUAUAGUGUAGAUGUCCAUUCAAUUAUUUUUGAGAAAUUAAGAUAGUGUUUGAAUUGGAGAGUGAAUAUGAGAGAUGUUGAAUGAAUGAAUUUGAGAAAAUGAAAAGAAAAUUGUGGUAUUGUUUGGAUUAAGAAAUUUAAAAGAAUUGAUAAAGGGAUUGGAAAGAAAAGUUUACGAAUAAUAUGAUGAAUAUGAUAGAUUAAAAAGAUGUUUUAAUUGAUAAAAGUAAAUGAUUAUCAAUUUAUCUUUGGUGUAGAAAUGUGAUAUAAAUUUAAAUAUAAGUAGUAGUAAUUAUAUUAAAACGAAAUUGAAUUUAUUAUUUAUAAUAAGAAAAUUAAAAUUAAAAAAUUAUUAUUAUUAAAAAUUAAUGGAAUAGAAUAAAAAACCGGACAAAAUAAAAACUAUAUAAAUAAUACAAUAAAAAAAACAGUAAUUUAGUGAAAUGAAGGGAGCGAGAAUCGAUUCUUCACACAAAGGGAAUCCUUAUUAGCCCCCAAAAUCAGGGCCGGGUUAGGCUAACCAAAUCUAACACAUUCUUUCGCAUAAUCACCAAACGCCCUUUUAUCUUCUGACCCUUGCCUCCCAGGAUUCCGAACAUCUUGCCUGAUUCUUACUUUUAACAAACACUCUUCUUUUUCUCUCUCUGUGGAUAACAGCAACCAACAUGCUCCUAUUUAAACGACAACCUCAACUAUUAAAUCUAACUAUUCACUGCGUUUUUCUUUACUAAAUACUUUUUACAUUCUUUAUCUUACAUAUUUUAUUUUACUUUUUCACCACAACCCUUUGACACUGCAUUUAAUAUCUGUUUUGUCUUCUUCUGUUUGUCUAUAUAGUGUUACACGAACAGUGCUCCAUUUAUUUCAUUCUUCCAGUUUCUUUCCUUACAUCUUUAAAUAUUUAAAAAAUAAUAAUAUUUUGAGAAUAUCUUAACAUUAUAAAUAUAGAUAUGUAUUAUUAUGUAAUGGGUUAAAUAUGUUUUUCGUUCUCCAACUAUUGGUCGUUUUUGUGUUUAGUCCCUCUUUCAAAGUAUAGUACAAUUUAGUCCUUCAAUUUUAGAAAACUCUGGUAUUAGUCAUUUUUACCAAAUUUUUUAACUUUAUUUACUGUUUCAAACGCAUUUCUCAGUUAAUAUUGAAGCAAAAAUGUGUUAAAAUGUGUAAACAAUCCAAAUGCUAUAAUAUAACGUGCUUGAAACAGCAAAUAAAGUUUAAAAAAUUUGGUAAAAAAAGACUAAAACUAUAGUUUUCUAAAGUUGAAGGACUAAAUUAUAUUAUACUUUGAAAGAAGGACUAAACACAAAAAUGGCUAAUAGUUGGGGGACGAAAAACAUAUUUAACCCUUAUGUAAUUGAUUUAUAUUAGUGUUUAUAAUUAUUAAAAUGUUAUAAAAAAGAAUGAAACAAUCAUUAUCAUAUUUAAAACUAUUUUUUUUCACUCUUUCAUGGCUGGAUGCACUAUACUGGAAUUUCUCUCAUUAACUAUUUUUUUUAGUUUCUAAAAUAUCUAGCCAUAAAAAUAGAAAGCCUUUUUAUUGUAUAAUUGUAAUUAGAAUUUUUUAAUAAAAAUUAAAAUAUUUUUAUUUUUCAAUUUAAUAAAAAGUAUGAAGUAUUUCUAAUUACAUAAUUAUGACAUAAUAAAAGUUAAAAAAAAUUAUAAUUAUCUUUUAUUUAUACUGCUUUUAAUAACUUUGAUAUCAUUUUUGUAAUAUCUUCUGUAUAUUUGUGCUAUUUUAGUUAUUGUAAUAUUAAGUGAAGAGACAAUUAUUAGUCGAAUAAUACUGAGAAUGGACCAUCUUUUAUGCAGCAAAAAAAGAACGUGCGUGUUUUGAAAAAGUAUUCAAGCAGUUUUAUUUUAUAUAAAUAAAAUAAAAAUAAACAUAAAGUAACAUCCUGUUCCAUUUAAAUAGAAUAAAAUUAUUAAAACAAAAUGUUACAUAUAUCAUAAUAAAAUAAUUAGAUAAAAACAAACAUACCACGAAAGAAAGAUUUAUGUAAAAUCAUUUAAUUACAUAUUUAGUUUUUUUUAAAAAUGAUGAUGUGAGUUUUUUUUAAAAAAGAAAGCCCAUGGGUUGACUCUGACCCACAGGCUUUGGAGCUUUUUAGUCCUGGGGGCUUUUUUAAUAAAGGGUUUUUUUUGGUUCUGUGGACUUUUUUGGUCCUAACCCACAUGGGCUAGGGCCAAGGCCUAUUAUAGGAGCCUAUUUGACAGGUCUACCUAUGAUGUUAUAUAUCAGGAUGACAACGGGUCGGGUCGAGUAUAAUCUGACUCGACAAAAAAACAUUCAUUUGUUACUCGAUCUAUUACUCGCACGUAUAUUUGCUUAAAAAUUAUCUGCGAGUAUUUUAAAAUCUGCAGAUAUCCGUUGAUAUUCGCAAAUAUUUUAAAAAUUAUUUUUUUAUUAAUUAUUAAAAUAAAAUUUAAAUAAAAUUACAAAAAAUAUAUAAUAUAAAUUUAAAUUUAAAUUUUAAUUAAAUUUAAUUAUAAAAUAUAAAUUAAUGUUAAUUUUGAUUAAAUUUAACCUAAUAAAGUAUAAAUUAAAUUUUUAUUUUUAUUUUUUGUAGGUAGCGGAUAUCUGCAGGUAUAUAUAGUAUAAUAUCCACACUCGACUCGUUUAUAAAUGGAUAUUAAAAUAUUCGCUAUCUGCAAUCUGCAGAUAGUAAAUAUUCGCGGAUACCAACUCUCCGUUGCGGAUUUUAUCUGGAGAUAUCUGCUAGGGCAGAUUUUUUUUGUCAUCUCUAAUUGCAUGUGCACUGAACAGGUGAAGGGUAAUUUCGUUUUUUGUACAUUCCUACUUAUCUCCCUAUCAAUGUGAGAAUGCAAAUAAGAAAAGACAAUGAGUUGUUAAAAUUAGGAUACCAUCAGCUGAAACAAACAACUAUAUACUCACAAAUCAAUCCAUUUACAUAUAUAGUACAUAUGUGGAAACUAAUACAUCCUAAGAAAAGACAACACCCCCUAAGAAAAGGCAAUGUAAUGAGUUGUCAAAAUAAUAAAGAAUUCAUAUAAGUAAAUUUUUAUACAUUAUUUUAUGUAUAAAUUAAUUUUAAUUCAAAAUAAAAUAAUUUUUGUUUAAUAUAAGAAAAUCUUCUAAAAUUAAAAUAGAAAAUUUGAGUGACUAACUUUAACAAAAACCCAACAUAAAUUCAUUGUGAAUACAAAUAAUAACAUCCAAAUUUUUAAUAUUCCUAAUACUAUUAUAAGAAUCAUCAUAUAUUUAAUAGAAUAGUUAAAAAGAAACUGAUACAAUUAUCCAAAUAAUAAAAUAUAUAUAAGAUAGGAAAGUCUAACACAUUUUUUUACACUUAAGAACUAAAGUGCAACAUGAAAUUUGUUAAAAGAGCAUAUAUACAUACAUAUAUUUUCAUAUAAAUAUGUAUAAAUCUAACUAAAAUAAAAUUCUAAUAUAAUCAUAUAUUCUAUCUCUAUCUUCCAAAGCCUGAUCAAAAGAAAGUUCUUCGUUUGCUCACAUAAUAAAAAUAUCAUUGCAAAUAGAAGAACAAACAAACAUAUAAUUAGCAGAAAGCAAAUGGUAGGCUAAUUUUAUCAAAGAAUACACAUAUGAUUAUUUACAAACAAUUUAUAAUUAAUCAUAAAUAACUAACAAUUCAUAAACAUCAAAUUAUUUACUCUAUACUUGAUCAUCCAAAUACAAGUAUUGAUACCGAACUCUAGGGGCCUUGCACUUGAAGAUGGUGCAACAACUCAUUCACACCAACUACCACACUCUGAGGUUAAUCUAUAAAAUAUUUAUGCCAAAUAAAUGACCAUCAGACUAAGGACAUCAUGUUACUCUUCACGACAUAACUACCCUUCUUUACUUUAGAUUAUAAGUUAUUAAGAGUAUCAGAUUAACCCAUAAUACCGAGCAUCAUAUAUCAAUACAUACACAAUACAAAAUCAUCUUAAGGAUUUCUCCUUGAAACUCUUAUAGCAUCAUAUACAAUUUCACACUCACGAACCAAUCUCAUACAAAAUUUAAAUCAAAUCCAUAUGUAUCUAAGAUACUUGAUCUAUAUGCAUUCAGUACUUAUCCAAAUGAUCAAAUCAAUUAAUAUUAUUGACACAAUAAUUGAUUUGAAAAUAGGUUUAUAACUCAGAGUGAGUGCCAAUUUGCUCACUUGUCUAGGAAUUUAUUUAUCUAAUCAAACCAACUAUCCUUAAAUGCAACCAACAAAUUUCAUGUGCUAUGAACCAAAUUUUAGUGAACUAAGUGGCUAACUAAGUCCUAAUUGACAUGAAUACAGAUUCCAAACACUUGGUUCCCUCACAAAACAACUGCUUUAGAAUAUUACUUAUCCAAACCUCUAUUUUUCACUAGAAACAGUCAUUACUCUAACCUAUUGUCAAACCAAAGUUCAACAGCUAAUUGAUUCACUAAAUCAUCAAGAAUCAAGCACAAUUCAGCAAGCAUUUCACACUAAGAAUUCAUUAUAUCAACUACCAAUUUCAAUAUGUCGCAUAAUACACUAUCAUAGAACUUAAAGCAGAUGCCCAUAACUGAUUUCAUAUAACUCUACCAUACCAAAACAAAUUAUCAAACCACUUAAAGCUUUAGAAAACGCAUUUAGCUUCGCUUACCUGUGAGAAGUUUAGCUAGCUUAAAAGGUCUAAAUAACUUUUUCCACUCAAGUAACUCUAUUUGUACCUACAAACCACAAAAACAUGAUUAAAGUACGUGGUUAGAACUACUAAUUAAUAAAGGACCUAAUAGAAGACUCAAGUUAUACAUGCGACAGGGUCAUAUUACAUGCAUUGAAAAGUACAGAAAACAGAGGAAAAGAGUAUAAAUUAACUUACUUUUUCAUUAGAAAUUGAUUGGUUGUAAAGGAAGAUCUUGUUGCCAUGAUCAUGAAGGCACUUCCCGAUCUUUGAACAUAUGGUUCAAUAAUUAGAACUCUUAGAAAGAAGGAAAAAAUACUCAAAAAAUGAUUUCUAAAGAGAUGAUAAGUGUUUUAAGUAAUAAGACUCUUUAAUAAAUUUCUAUUUAUACUCUUUUUAAUAUUAAAAUAACAUUAUCUCAUUAUUUAAAAUAUUUUAUCAACUCUUAAAAAUUUAUUUUUUUUUAAAUUUUUACAAAUUUUACUUAUUUGUUUUAUUUGAGUCUCUUAAAAGAAAUUAGGGUUAGUUUUAUUCUUUUAGUUUCAAAAUUUUGAAAUGUUUUAUAUAUGUAUUUUUGUUUAAUAUCUAGAAACGUUUGUGGUCAGUUUUAUUUCCAUGAUAAGAAAAUAUGGUUGCUUCAUUCAUAAUUGUACUAUUUUUGUUUCACUAGUAAAAAAUAGGGUUUAUACAGCGUACAUUAUGCCACGGUUUACCAGAAAUCGCAACAUAAUUGUGCGCGGUGGCAGUUUUGUAAAUAAAUCCAACUUAUAUGCCGCGGUUAUAUACCCCAGGUCAACUAUCAAUUUUGACGCCACGUCAGGAAAAAAUUAAAUAACAAGAGAGUAUGUCGUGGUUCUCUGAGGAACGCGGCAUAUUCCCACUGCCACCUACUGACAUUCCCCAUCAGUCAGCCCCUACAAUAAAUUGGCAGGGGAAUAGGUCGCGGUUCUCUGGGUAACCGCGGCCUAUUCCCCUGCCAAUUUAUUGCAGGGGCUGACUGAAGGGGAAUGUCAAUAGGUGACAGUGGGAAUAUGCCACGGUUCCUCAGAGAACCGCGACCUAUUCCUCUGCCACCUACUGACAUUCCCCAAAAGGCAGUUGGGAAGACAGUUGAGUAUUCAGAACGUUAGGGAAUAGGUCGUAGUUCUCAGAGCAACCGCGGCAUAUUCCCUGAUCUGAAAAAAUUUGAAAUAUUUAAGGGUAUAUGUUGUGGUUGCCCGCUGAACCGCGGCAUAUAGUUUCAAAAAUAAUUUCGAAAAUGCCAUUUAUAUUAUUUUUUUAAGGAGUAUAUGAUGCGGUUAAGUUGUGAACCGCGACAUAUUCCCCUUUGUAGGUUGAAAAAUACAAAACACUGAACAGUUUCAUCUUCUCCACGCGUUUUUCUGAAGCUUUCUCUCUGCUUUCUCCUCUGCCUCUACGCGAUUACGCUGCUGCCGCGCCAACUCCGUCUCAAAACAUCUCUGCCGCCGCGCCAUCCCGACCGUCUGUCGCGCCCUCUGCCUUCGUGCCCUCUACCGUCGCGCCAGCCUCUGUCGCCGCGUCAUUCUCUCCGUCGCGCCAUCUCUGCUUCCCCGGGUACAUUCCAUUUUCUUCUCUGAUUAAAUUUUUGUGUUAUAUUGAAAUGCUAGGUUUGAAUAUAUUGUUUUUGUGGCUUUGAUCGUUUUUGUCAAAUUUGUUGUGGUUAUCAUUUCCUUUCCAUUCUCUCAUAUUUCUCAUUUUCGUUCUUUCUCCAUUUUUGUUCUCCUUCCAUUUUCAUUCUUCUUCCAUCAACAAGUAAGGUGUUUCCUUAGUCCAAGAUUUGGGCCUUUCAUAGUGUCAAGGUUGGUAGCACCAUGAAGAGAAAUUGCGAAGAGAACAAGUGUCUCGUUCUCGCUUCUCUCUGUCGACAUUUUGCCCUUUCUUCCUCUCUCUCUCUCUCUUUUCGUUCGCGCUAUUUUCCCCUUCUCUCUCACGAUUUGUCCUUGUUUUCUCAUCCAUCCAUUACGAGUUCGACCAUAUAUUUGAAACCUUUAUUUGGUUAUGGGUGCUUGGUACAAAAAUUGAUUCUGUAAGCGACCUUGAUAGGCUUCGGUGUUGGUGCCUAACAAAAGAUCCACUUUAAUUGAUUGAGUGUUGCUGCCUAAAAAAAAGAAUCACAUCACACCUUAAUUAUACUACUAUUUUACCUUGAAUUAUGGUCAGUUUAUAAAGAAAUAAAAAAAAAGUAGAAUAAAAUAUGAAACAUGAAACAAUAAAUGGAAAGUAAAACAUUUAGGAAGAUUAGAAAAAUGUUGUUUUGGGAAAUUAACCGCAUAUACUAAAGUGGUCUAAAAAUUACGAGUUAGUAGUCAUUUGAAACAUCUUCUGUAGGUCCAAAAAUCACAAAUUAGUAGUCAUUAGAAAGAGUUGAGUUUAUUUUCUAAUAAAAAAAGAAUCACAUCAUUUGUAGGUCUGGUGAGUGACGUCUCCACAACUGGAUCCUGUAGUAGAAGUUUGUGUACAAAACCCAAAUUUGUUGUGCGUAAUCCAUUUGUGUCAUCACCAAGUUUGGUGAAGUCCUAAAACAAGUGUUGGCCAUUCAAGCCCUUGUAAUCGAUUAGAGUGUCCCUAUAAUCGAUUGCGCACAACAAAUUUGGGUUUUGUACACAAACUUUUACUGCAGGACCCAACUAUGGAGACGUCACUCACCAGAAGCAAUUUAAGUAAUUUUUUUUUCACAAAUCUUUAAUGGGUGACACUUCUUUUUUGUAUUUAAGUGUCAGUAGGGCUUGAAAACAGAGGUUUGGGCAGUCCAUGGUGGUGGAAAGACCCAAUAUUAACUACAAAAAAGAAGGGCAUUACCGACAACCAAAAUCCCUCGAAAAACAGCCAAAAGCCGGUAAAUCUUUCGGUAUUUUACUACUCUACGGGCCUUUGGUAAAUUCUUCAGAAAACGUAACUUACCAACGGCUUAAAGACCUUUGGUAAAAGCCCGUUGGUAAUUUGCGCGUUUACUGUAGUGGCUGGUGUCAUCACCAAGUUUGAUGAAGUCCUUAAACAAGUGUAGUCCAUACAGAUCCUUGUAAUCGAUUACAAUGUCCCUUUAAACAAUUAUGCGCAACAAGUUUGGUGCAUUUACGCUUCUGUCCUUUAUUUUUCCUAAUAAUUUCUUAUUAUUGUUUUUUUCUUACCAGUAUACUUUCAAAUUAUAUAAAAAUAUGCUAAAAAUAUUUUUAAUAUAAAUUAGUAUAAAUUUUCGCGUUUAUUCAUCUAAUACACCUCUUUUAUAGGAUAAUAAUAAUAAUCGUGAUGACACGUAUUUAAAUUUGAUUGGCUGCAUAUUGAUAACAUUAUCUAUAUAAUACAUUACUGAAUUUGAUUGGCUGCAUAUUGAUAACAUUAUCUAUAUAACACUUUUGUACAAUUAAAGAAAAACUAAACAUGUCUCUAUCGAAACUUGAUUACUUUCAACUAUUCAAUAAUGAAUCGUCGAACACCUAUGUUUAUAAUCAAUGACUCAAUGAACUAUUGGAACGAUUUCAUGGGAAUUUUUCUUAAAUUUCGAAGAUCAAUAAAUCUUUAUUUUAAUUAAAAAUGAUUUACUUAAUUUAAAUUAAAAAUUAUUUAAAAAACAUAAUUAAUGUUAAUUUUUAUAUUAAUGUGAUUUAAUAAGUAAGUCAACAAAUAAAAAUAAUUUUAAUAAUCGACAAAUAAUUAUAAUGAAUUUUAAUCUAAAACUAAUCUUGUUUAUAUCAAUUUAAAAGCAGAGUUGAGUCAAUCAUAUCUUUCUUGAGGUCGAGAAAAAAAGAAGAAGAAAGAGUAUGUAAAAUUUAAAUUUUUUUACUCUUAUAAAUUCUUAUAGUUUUUAUUUUUUUGAAAUUAUUUAUUCAACUUAUAAAAUAUUUUUAAUUUUCUGUAAAAAUAAAUUAUUCUAUAAAGUUUUCUUAUGCAAACAUUAUUGGGAUUUCAUUUUGUUUUAACAAAAACUUUUUUUAUUAUUUUAUCAAGAAAAAUUCAUAAACACCUGAUAUAUAUUUAAAAGUAAAACAAUAAUUAUAUAUUUAUCAUAUACGUAUAUGAUGAAAAAGUAUAUUUUAAAAAAUAUAUAUGUACAGUAAAUAUGUUCUUAUAUUAUUUUACUUCAUCAAAUCUUAUAUGAGUUCAAAAGUCAUAAGUUAUUAGUUUAUUAUAUUGAGUGAAUUAUUCAAUGAAUAUAAUUAGAGUAUAUAUGAUAUCUCUCUAUACUAUCUCGAUUUCAUGUUAUGAGUUUUUGCUGGAUUAGGAUGAGGAUGAUUCUUAUGUUCAAAUGAGAUUUUUUUUUUUUUUUCUAGAGGUCAAGUAAUUCAAUUAUGAAGUAUGUGUUUUUACUUAGAAAUUAAACCUCUAUUUAUAGAGUUUAAGAGAAUCUGAUCAAUUAAUUUACCUCUUAAUGAUUAUUAAUAUUAAUCUUAAUCAUUCAUCAAUAACAGUUAUCACUAGGGGUGGGCAAAUCGAACUGAACUGUACUGCACUGCUAAAAACUGAACUGAACUAUAAAACAGUUCAAACAAACUGAACUGAACUGUAAAACAGUUCAGACAAACUGAACUGAACUAUAUUUUGUUUUUCAAACUGAACCGUACUGAACUGUACUGUACUGCAAUAUGAACUGAACUAUUAACUGAACUGUAAACUGCACUAACUGAACUGUAAACUGCACUGACUGAACUAUUAACUGAACUGUAAACUGAACUAAACUAUUAACUGAAUUGUAAAUUACACUAACUGAACUAUUAACUAAAUUGUAAACUACACUAAUUUUAACUAAACUACAAUAUAAACUGAAAUGAACUAGUACUAUACUAAUUUUAAACUGAAUUGUCCUAAUUUUUAAACUAAAUAGUAUAACAAUACAUGUUCUUUUCUUUUUAAUUGAAAAUUAUUUUAAUAUUUAUUUUAUUUUAUUCAUAAAUGUCUAAUAANNNNNNNNNNNNNNNNNNNNNNNNNNNNNNNNNNNNNNNNNNNNNNNNNNAUUUUUAUUGAUAAAAAUAUAAAUUUUGUGAUAAAAAAGUUGUUUUAAAAAAUUAAUUAUUAUUUUUGAUGUGAACGGUUAUUUUUAUUAAUAUUUUAUUAUUAAAUAAAGUUUUUUUGACAAGAUGAAACAAUUGAACUGAAAUUAGAGAAGAUGUAAGAGUAGAUACAGUUCUCACACUUAACUGAACUGUAACUGUUAUCAGUUCAGUUUUUAAAAACUGAACCAUAAAAUAGUAUACUGAACUGUUACUAGAAAUGGAUCAGUUAUUUUUAGUACAAUAUAGUACAGUUAACUGCAGUACAGUACAGAUCUGUUAUUUUUGCCCAGCCCUAGUUAUCACAUUGAUUGCACUAUAAUUCUACUCAACUAUUGUCGUGUGACUGACUCGCUGUGGAACUCUUUUUCACACCUCGACCGUUUGGUCCAUUCAACUCAACGCAAGGUCAUGUUUGAUCGGUCGGGUAGAACCCUACAGUAACAGUAUGUAUUCUAACCAAAUUUUGGUUAGAGUUGUUUUCUAAAAUUAUGUCUUUAAAUGGUAAAACGAAAUACUAUAUGUAUAAAAUAAACUAAUUCCACUCAUGAAUUAGUUUUUCUUCGUAUAAUUUGUACCAAAAGUCUCUUGUUUUAUUCUCUUUUUUUCAAUAUCAAUUAUAACUAUAAACUUACGUGCAUAAAAUAAUUUCACUUUCCCAUUAAUUAUAACAUAGACAAAGUUGAAUUAAUGAGUCAAUCAUACGUCUCUCUAUCUAAAAUCUUAGGUCAAUGAAUUAAUGGGUCUUUCACCUUUAUAUAUUGUUCUACUUCCUCAUUUUUAUCUAAUGUGAGACUUAAACUCAUACUUGGAUUUCCAACCAUAUGUAUGUAUAUAUACAUAAACACACACAAUUGUACUAGAAAGAUAACUUCUUUAUAAAAGGUGCUUGUUGGUUAUUUUUUGUGUACCUUAGUUAUCAUCUUUACUUUUUUUUCAUUAAGUAAACAUAAAUUUUUUAGUAAACCAAAAUAAAUAUAAAUGUCAUUUUUACAUAAAAUAGGAAACUAACUUAUGAUAUUGGAUUGAAUUAUAUUUUGGUGAAAAGUGAUAAUUAAUUCUAUUGAAACCUUGUGAAUUUAAUAUUUCUUUCCAACAUAACCUAUUUCAGAUAUAAAAUGAAAUUAAUCACUUAUAAAAAAAAAUACUGAUAUAUGUUUUCUCGUUGGCGCAAGUAUAUUUCUCGGAAAAAAUUAUAUUAAAACACUCCCGGGUGAGAAAAAAUUGAUAAAAAUUUCAUCAAACAAUCAUUAUUGCUAAUGCAACUAUGAUCUUUGCUAAUCUAAUCAACGACUAAUUAAAACCCCACUAAUCUUUAUCAUGUGUUUUUUUUUGUCGGGCAAUUUGUUCAUGUAAAAUUAAAUUAUAAACAUAACCUUAUUAAUUUGAAGUGGUGUACGUUGCCAUCGAAUAAAUGGAUAAAAUACGGCCAACUACUCCUUAUUUUCCUCGUGGUUUUAAAAAAACAAAAUUAUAAAUAUAGUUCAUAUGUUAUUUUCAUUUGUUUUAUUUUUUAUAUAAAAAUACAUUUUAUUCAUUAGUUUCUCUGUUAGCGUAGGGUUUUUGUUGACCAUAAAGAAUUAAAUCGAAAACGAUUUGUCAAAUAAAAAUAAGGUUUAAACCUCUUUUUGGUCCCUAAGUUAUGAGUGAAUGUUCAGUUUAGUUCCCGCUUUUAAAAAUGUAAGUCUUUGGUUCUUAAGUUAUAAAAAAUGUAUCAAAUGAGUCCUUUUUUGAUGUUCAUGGUCAAAGUACAAAAAGUAAUCUAAAGUGCUGUUAUUAUUAAGAAACAAAUCAGAGCAAUAUAAAGAUGUAGCAGUUGUUAAGAAACAACCAAAAACAGUAUUUUAAGUCAAAAAAAGAAUCAUUUGAUACAUUUUCUAUAACUUAGGGAUUAAAGAUUUACAUUUUUAAAAAUGGAGACUAAACUGAACAUCCGCUUAUAACUUAGGAACCAAAAAGAGGUUUAAACCUAAAAAUAAAGACCAAAAUGUUAGAAUUUUCUUAUGCAGCCAUUAAAAUGAGAAGUAAACAGAAGAAAAGUGGCACUAAAUAAUAUAUGACCAAAAUGUAAAUGUCUUGGAACUUUUCAAAAGUAAGAAUAAAGACAUAAUUUAUUUUUUCGUGCACGAAUUAAUAAAAGAUUGGAGUAUUUGUUUGAUAAAAAGAAUAAAUGAAAAUGGCAUUAAUGCAAGCAUUACUUUUUUCGUUUAACCAUUUUUAACAAUUAUGUUCAUUUACCAUAAAAGAGAGAAAAAGAAAUGAGAGGAAAUAAAAAAGAAAUGAAAGACAAAGAUGGUAUGUAAGUAAUCAUAAUUAUUUUUUGUUACAUGACAACCUUUUGGAACAUUUUCCACACAAAAAGACAAGCAGAUAGUUGUUUUUCCAUGUUAGGGUUUUGAAUAAUGCAAAAUUGAAAGCAAAAUUUCUAAGCCAAGGGCUAUAAAUACAAAUGCAAACUUACAAAAAUAUACACAUUCAUAUAUCAAACUCAUCAAUUAUAUCUUCGUUUUAGCAAACAUGUGGUCUGUGAUAACGGAUCCCAUCAGAAACCUUUUUGCAAAUGUUGUUCACCAGUUCAUCCACAAAGACUUCCAUGAAGCAGUGGCCAAAAUGACCAUAAUAGAUGCUUUUCUCUUCAUUGUAUACACACAAUUCCUUCUACAUCAUAUUAUCAUAACAUGAAUAGUUGUUAUUACAUUAGUGAUAGGAUUAAGACAUCAUUUUCAAAGCAUUAAUUAUCAGAGCUUUAAUUAAGUUAAGAUCAUCACGAAAUGAGUCUGUUUUAUGCAGAUUGUUCAUUCCAUUGACAAGCUGGGGAUAUGGCAUCGUCUACCUGUUUUCUUAGGGCUAUUGUAUCUGGCUAUCAGACGUCACCUUCACCAAGAGUACAACCUCUUCAACGUUGGAACAACACCAACUGGGAUUAGGUUCAACCAUUCAGAUUUUCCAUACAGAACAGCUGAUGGAAAAUAUAAUGAUCNUUUCAAUGAAGUUGCUGGCAGCCAAGGAACUUUCUUUGGCAGAAACAUGCUUCCUGUUGAUCAGAAGAAAAAGGUCAACAAUCAUAGCUAGUUAUAAUAAUUUCAUAAAAUAUCAGUGUUUUUACUGCUAUAGUUUGUUGACUUGUUCUUAUAUGAUUUUGAUCCUUUGAGGAUAGUGAAUUUUGAAGGCAUAGUUUUGUGUGUGUGCAGCUAUUGAAGCCUGAUCCAAUGGUGGUAGCAACAAAACUACUAGCUAGAAGGACAUAUAAGGACACAGGGAAGCAAUUCAACGUGAUUGCAGCUUCUUGGAUUCAGUUCAUGAUUCACGAUUGGAUCGAUCAUCUUGAGGAUACCAAACAGGUCAAUCAAUUUCUAAAACCAUGAUGAUGUUUUUUAUUGUGAUAAUAAGAAGGUAUUUAAUUUAAUUUGUUCAUGAAAUUUUGAUACAUAUUUACAUACAUAUAUAUGCAGAUUGAACUGACUGCACCAAAAGAAGUUGCAGGCCAAUGCCCUCUAAAAUCUUUCAAAUUCUUCAAAACUAAGGAAAUUCCCACUGGAUUCUAUGAGAUAAAAACGGGAUCAUCGAACAUUCGAACACCAUGGUGGUAAGAUUUCUACUGCAGUUUACCUCAGCCAAAAGUUAAAGGUUAAUGUUGAUAAGUUUAUUAUUCCUACUUCUUAUACUGAGUUUAUGACUAACAUAAUUUCAGAAAAAACAGUUUUUAAACGAGGAGCAUAUCUCACUUAUAUAUUAUAAAAGUUUUCGAUAUGUACUAAGUAAUGAUACUGACAGAAAAUUAUAAUUUGAAAAAGGAAAGAAAAGAUAACUUAGAUGAAAAAAAUGGCGGCGUAUAUGCAUGUAGAAAAUUCAAUGCGUGGGGGCACGAUAGCGUUUACAUCUAACAAAAUGGCGGCGAAAGAUAUAAGAUAUGUGAUUUGGUUUGAUUUAGGUUGACCUACCUACAUAUUUUUGGCAAUGGGACAUUAUUUUACUAUUUUUGACCGAAGUGUUGCCAAGAUCGGAGUGAAUCUUAACGAGAAUCAAUAAUCUUUCUAAAAUUUUUAAAAAUAAAAAUUCAUGAAAAUUAAAUUAGGUAAAUUUUUAUUUCUUUUAUAAAUUAUGUAAUAAUAAAAUAUAAAAUCAAAUAUAAUAAAUAAUAAAAUUAUUAAGAUUUUUUUUUUUUUAAUUUUCUCUUACCUUUACCUGUUGGUGUUCAUUUCCCACCCUCUCAUGCUUACUUUUUAUCAUAAAGGAAAAAAAAACAGGUUAAAAUUCAUUAUUCUAAAUUAUGGAUUUUUGUUAUGUUUGUAAUAUUCAUCAAAUAUAUAAAUUUUCGUAUAUACCUAAGAAAAACUCGUCGAGUUAAGUCAGAACAAAAUAUAUUUUGAAAUAAAAGAAUGAGUAUAAGAGUGAGUAUGAUUUUUUUUUUUUAAAUAUCAUAUCUUUAUAAAAUUAUUUGAACUUUAGGAUUCAUGUCAUAAAAAUAUAAUGAUAUAAUAAAUUAUAUACCAACAAAAUAAAAACUUAUCUUAAAUAAAUAAUAUUAAUAAUAAUAAUAUGAGAUCUUAUCAAUAAUAAUAUUCAAAUCUACUAGAUUUGUCAUGAUUAUAAGAAAUAUUAGUUUUAGUAAAAGUAAUAUCACACUCAUAUUUAUUUGACACAUUUAAUUUGAGUAAAUUGAUCUUAAAAAAGUGAAUUUUUGUAAUUUAAAAAAAAAUAAAAAUAAAAGGUAAGAAAAAGUAGUAUGAAAUGAAUGUAAAAAAAUUAUGUAGGUUAAAGUAUAUUGGACUAAUGUAAAAGUUAAAAGUAGCUGAUAUGAAAGUUAUUGGUAUAUAGUCUCUGAGAGAAGAUGUUUAAGUUGCAUGGAUUUGGUUGGUGAAAUAGGGAUGCAAGUGCUGUGUAUGGAAGCAAUGGAGAAGUUUUACAGAAAGUGAGGACUUUCAAAGAUGGAAAGCUAAAUAUAUCAAAGGAUGGAAACCUUCUGCAUAACGAAAAUGGAACAGCAGUUGCAGGUGACAUCCGCAACAGUUGGGCUGGUGUUUCAACUCUGCAAUCCCUUUUCAUUCAAGAACACAAUGCAGUUUGUGAUUCUCUCAAGGUAUAAUAUUCAUAAAUUAUAUCAUGGAAAAAACAGUAACCAAUCUUAUUUUAAAAACAAACUCAUCAAUUAAAAGAAAAUACUAACAAAAUACCUGUUUUUAAUUGUACUGUUUCAGAAAUAUUACCCUCAUUUGAAUGAUGAAGAACUUUAUCGCCAUGCAAGAUUGGUGAUUUCAGCUGUGAUUGCAAAGGUUCACACCAUUGAUUGGACUGUGGAGCUUCUUAAAACUGAUACUCUACAUGCAGGAAUGCGUGCCAACUGGUAAGCUUCUCGGCACCACACAAUUUUCUGACACAUUUUACAUUAAAAAAUUUAUCUACUGCCUUUUUUUUUUUUCAUUUAUAUUCAAAAUGUAAAAUGAAGUGUUAUUUAUUUCUAUUUAUUUUUUGAAAUUAUUGUUUAAUUUUCAGGUAUGGACUAUUGGGGAAGAAGUUUAAGGAUACAUUUGGACAUGUUGGUGGGUCCAUCUUGGGAGGAUUUGUUGGUAUGAAGAAGCCAGAAAAUCAUGGUGUCACAUACUCUUUAACAGAAGAAUUUGCGAGUGUCUACAGAAUGCACCCACUCCUACCUGAUAACCUGCAUCUGAGAGACCUAUCUGCAACUCCUGGGCCAAACAAAUCUCUACCAGUAAUCAAAGAGUAUGAUAAUAAAAUCUUACCUAAACCUUUCUUUUCCCAAAGACAUUACUACAUAUGUUUCUAUUUAUAGUUUAUAAGAAUUGAUAUUGAACUCUUCAAUAACUUAUAUUGUUUUUAAGAAUUGUUCUUAUUUUUAAGAUUGAUAUAUAAAGUUAGAUUAUCUCAAUAAUUUGAAGCAUUUUUCAUUAUCUUUUACCAAAAUUCCAUUUGGUAUUGUAGAAUUCCUAUGAAAAGCUUGAUUGGACUACCAGGAGAGAAGACAUUAUCAGAAAUAGGAGUUGCAAGACAACUUGUGUCAAUGGGUCACCAAGCUUGUGGAGCAUUAGAGCUUUGGAAUUAUCCAGAGUGGCUAAGAGACCUUGUACCACAGAACAUUGAUGGCACAGAAAGGUCUGAACAUGUGGACCUGGCUGCUCUUGAAAGUAAGAUAUAGACAUACAUAUAUAUAUGUAAAAGUUUAUGUAUAGUUUUAAUAUUAAGAUAUAAACGUUAUCUAGUUAUUAACCCUAAAAUUAUGAUGCAGUUUACAGGGAUAGGGAAAGGAAUGUGGCUAGAUACAACCAGUUUAGGAGGUCAUUACUGUUAAUACCUAUCUCAAAGUGGGAAGAUCUAACUGAUGAUAAGGAAGCAAUUAAAGUAUUGGAAGAAGUAUAUGGAGAUGAUGUUGAAGAACUUGAUCUACUUGUAGGUCUCAUGGCAGAGAAGAAAAUAAAGGGUUUUGCAAUCAGUGAGACAGCUUUUGUGAUAUUCCUCCUCAUGGCAUGCAGGUAAAAGGAAUAACAUUAAAAUACCAAAUAUGUCUGUUAUAAAAUGUUUCUUUGUUCUAAAGGAUUCAUUGUGUGUUUUUAAGUGUAACUUUUGGACUUUGUUUUGUGAAGUGAUUUUGAAAGGGAGAUUAAUUGUAACAAUGAAUGAAACUGUUUUUGUGGAAUUGCAGGAGGCUGGAAGCUGAUAGGUUCUUCACAAGCAACUAUAAUGAAGAAACAUACACUAAAAAGGGACUUGAAUGGGUGAACACAACUGAGAGUUUGAAAGAUGUGAUUGAUCGUCACUAUCCUGAAAUGACACACAAAUGGUUGAACUCUUCUAGUGCUUUCUCUGUUUGGGAUUCACUUCCAAACUCACCCAAUCAUGUUCCUCUUUACCUUCGUGUUCCUCAUUAAUAUGUAAUUUCGAUAUUUAUGUGUUUUAUUUGGAUCUAUCUUUUGUUAAGUUUGAAUUAAUAUGUAUAUUUUUAUCUUGUAAAACACUAUGUUUCGAUCUAUAUGUAUUCAGUCUUAAAUGUAUUUGAGUUUGAGUGAAUACUAUAGUUUGUUUGUAUCUUAAAAUUUUCAAGGAAGAAAUAAAAGUGUAUGUAGUUAUGUAUUUUUAAAGCAUGUUUGUUAAAUUCUAGUCUAUCUUAAACUUCUUGUAAUUUGAUUAAAUAAUAUUCUUUGUCGAUUAUUUUUGUUUAGAUAACUAGAUUCAUAUUUUUAAAUAGAACUAUUCUAGUCUAUUAUAUAACUAUGAGCACAGACCCUUAGGGAAAAUCCAUAAAUGCACAUUUUGAAAAUAUGACAGACGUGAUCUCAUUUAGUUUUCUUGUUAUUACUGAGUGCUACCCUUAGAAAAUUUUCAAUACUGUCCACUGUGUGUGGUUGACACCUGUUUUAGACCAUGAUAUUUUUGUUAUUUGUACUAUAUUGAUUUGAAAACAUAACUAUGAAAAUAAAACCCUUAGGGAAAAUCCAUAAAUUUCCCCACUGAUAAUUUGACAGUUGCUACUUUAUUUGGUUUUUUUUGUCAUUUAUUACCCUUACGAAAAUUCCAAAAUUGUUUAUUGUGCUUGGUUAACACUUAUUCUAAAGGACAAUGAUAUUUUGAUAACUCUUUUUUGACAACUUUUUGACAACAGGUGUCAUCAUUUUAUUGGUCUGUUUAAAUUUAUGUUUAAAAAAAUAUUUGAAACGGACCAAUCAUAGACUGCCACGUAUGUAUUGUCAAAAAAGAAUUGUUAAAGAGACUUUUUCCUAUUCUAAAUCAUGACUUUUUUGUCUUGCACUGUACUCAUUUGACAUUUAUCAGCUUUUGAAAAGUUGAACACAUAACAUGUUAUUUUAUUGGAAAAUGAUAUUUUAACACCAUUUUUUGACACUAUUUUGACACUGCACACGUGUCAAAAUGUGAUUGGACGAUUUCAAAUGAAAAAAACAAACUUUGGUUUUUCUCUUUCAAAUAUAUCCCUAUUUCAACUUUUUUAAUUGAAAUCGUCCAAUCACAUUUUGACACGUGUGCAGUGUCAAAAUGGUGUCAAAAAAUUGUGUUAAAAUAUCAUUUUCCUAUUUUAUUCAACCCUCUUCACAGCUCAGUUUGGAGGAGUCGUGUAAGGGUUUAGUUGGUGUAUUAAAUAGUGCUAAAUCAGUUUUAACAUGAAAACUUGGAGUCUGGAUAAUUUAUUGGUGCAGUAUUGUGUUUUAAAGCUUGAAACUGAGUUAUUAGACUAUGGAUAGUUUGGGUGUAACGAGUUGUUAGAUAAUGGUUCGUUUAGAGAUGUAAUUGAAUUGUUAGUGUUAAAAAUACAUAGCGAAUGUUUAAAUUAUAGACAAAAUCAAGAAGGAGUCUGGGAAGUUAGAUCAUCUAGAACCUUAGAUUGUAUAGGAUGUUAGAUCAUCAGGAGUGUUAGAUAUCCUCAUGAGAACUAAACGGUCCUUAGGUGUUAAACACUUCUUGGAUGUUAGACCGUUUGGGUGUUAAAAUGUCUCGGAUGUUAGACCGUUUGAGGUGUUAGAUCAUUGAGGAUGUUAGACGGUGAGGUGUGUUAGACGAUUUGGGAUGUUAGUCUAUUACAAGUGUUUGGGUUUUAUAAGGUAUGAGGUGUUAGACCCGAGGUGUUAGGAUGUUAGAUAGUCUAGGGUAUAAGAUCAUCUAGGGUGUUAAAUGUGUUUAAGGUGUUAAAAGGGUCUGGAGUGUUAGAUGCGUUUAGCAUAACAGAUAAGGAAAAAGUCUCUUUACCAACUCUUUUUUGACAAUUUUUUGACAACGCAUACGUGGCAGUUUGUGAUUGGUCCAUUUCAAAUAUAUUUUUAGAAUAAAUUCAAACAGACCAAUAGAAUUGUGACACGUGUCCUGUUGUCAAAAAGUUGUUAAAAAAGAGUUGUUAAAAUAUCAUUGUCCAACAGAUAAUUUGGGGUGUCAGACACGUCUCGGGUGUUAGAUCGUUUGGAGUGUUAAAACAUUAUUUUUUUUUAAUUUAAAAUCGUCCAAUCACAUUUUGACACGUGUACAAUAUCAAAAUGGUGUCAAAAAAUUGGUGUUAAAAUAUCAUUUUGCUUUCUUCUUUCACCUAUAAUAUAUAUCUCGGAUAUAAGUAUUUCUUCUUAAAUCUUGUAUUUUCUGUUGGAUGCAUAUUAUAUGAAAGGUUUACUACAGUUACCAAAAAUAUUAUGGUCCCCGUUUGUUUGAUGAUGGUGUGAAAACUUGAAAUAAUAAUAAUCUUACCAAUUAAAAUUAGAAAACACAUAAUGCAAAAAAUUUUGUAAACAGUUUUGGACUGUGUAUAUAUUAUCUCAUAUUAGCAAAAUUUACAGUGGCUAAAUCACGGGUUACAUUACAUUAGCGAAAACCAUUUAUUUUCUGAAUUAUAUUUUUUUUUAAGCUUUAGAUAUGGAAUAGGUUAGAAAACAAACUUUCUAAAGUUAAAAUUUACUUUUACGUGUACUAACAUUUUUUCUUCUAAGAUUCACGGUUGCAUUAAUUUUUUUAGUUUGUCACUUGUUUAAGUGUCUGAAAACAUUAAUUUUUGUUUUAAUCCGUGACAACACAAUCACUUUCUUCAUUAUUGAGUAAAACAAAGACUCUGAAAUUUCCAUCUCUUCAUUAUUGAAUAAAACAACCUAUCUUUUCCCCCCACACACAGUAUGUCUCCUCCUUUACACCGUAGAAUCAGAUAUAUUGUUUUGGCUUCAUGUCAAAAUUUCUUCAAGGCUAUGGAAAAGUAGUAUCAAUAGGUCUAUUCUUUUGGAAACAUCCAACAUCAAAGGCCAUCACAGGCUGCUCAGAAAAAGCAUAAAAGCUUGUCUUUUCCUUAAUGAAAAAACAAAACGAAAAAUUUAGAGAAACAAGAGAGAGAGUGAGAUUGAAUCUGGACUUCUGAGUUGGACGAAGAAGGAAUUAACAGUGGACUUUAGAGCACCCAGAACUUACAUAUUUUUGCUAGAAUAGAGGUAGGGGAGCUAAACCUUGAAAUUGUUAAAAGGGUCGGUCGUUUUUUUUUUUUUUCUGCUCUUUUUUGAUCGUCCAAUCCUUUCUGAGAAAACAAUCCAGUCCGAUGGAUUGUUGAUCUGCAGAAAAUACUAUGACACUCAAAUCAAAUAUGUCUCAUAAAAAAAUCUUUAUUUGAUUAGGAUAGAUCAAGAUUUUUUUUACCUGGACAUUAACCCUACAUUUAUAGGGCUUAUAACAAUCAAAUCCGUUAAUUAAUCAUCAAUAUCAUAUAUUUGUAAAGUGUAACGUAAUCUGACCCAUUAAUAUCUGCUAAUAUACCUGCUAACUGCUCAUGAAUGACCAUUAACUCCGAUUGAUAUAUUUCAUAUAGUACAUAAGUCCCCCAAGCCCAAGAUAUAGUAGAUCUUUAUUGGAAUAGGUGCACAGGGAUUAUUUUGAGCUUAAGAGUGGUCGCUCAUGUUGUGUUAGGGAGUCUAUUUUCGAUGCACUUUAAGUUUUCAUUCCUUUUUGUACCAAGCAGUGGACUUUAGGAGUUCUCUUUGGAACUAUUCCCUAGACUAAGCAAAAAAUGUUAGGAGUAGUAGACGAUACGAUAGGAGUUCUCUUUGAAACUUUUUCCUGUGCAAGAAUUUUUCACACAAAAAGUAUGUGUUAAACAAAAUAAGGUAAACGCUUCAAUAUUUUAUAAUAUAUCUUUAUAAUGAAAAGGUAUCGGAAAGAUGAACAUAGAUGGUCCGAGCGGGUAGGGACUGAACUUGUUGAGUAGUUGACCCUAGGAGUUCUUUUUAGAACUUUUUCCUAUGUUGAUCAGAGGCACUAGAAGUUCUUUCCUAUGUUGAGCAGAGACACUAGAAGUUCUAUUUGGAACUUUUUCUCUAGGCCAAGUGACGACUGAUGAUAAGAGUUCUUUUUUUAUAACUUUUUCCUAGCGAAGGCACUGGAAGUUUUAAUGGAACCUUUUCUCUAGGCCGAGCGGCGACUGAUAGGAGUUCUUUUUUAGAACUUUUCCUAUGUUGAGCGAAGACACUAAAAGUUCUAUUGGAACUUUUUCUCUUGGUCAGGUGGCGACUGAUAGGAGUUCUCUUUUAGAACUUUUUCCUAUGUUAAGCAAUAGAAGCUAGGAGUUCUUUUUAAAACUUUUUCUUGUGCAAGAUAUUUUCAUUCAUAAAAAUAUGCGUUAAACAAAAUAUUCAAUCUUUUAUUUUUAUAAUGAAAAGUCAUUAGAACCUGACAAGGUUGGACUUUGGUGGUCCAACUGACCAAGCGGUAAGGGAUUGAACCUUCUUGUGCAGGAUAUUUUUACUCACAAAAAUAUGCGAUAAAUAAAAUAUUCAACAUUUUAUUUUUAUAAUGAGAAGGCAUUAGAACCUAAUAAGGUUGAACGUUGGUGGUCCAAUCAACCAAACGUUAAGGGAUUGAACCUUCAUGUGCAGGAUAUGCAUUAAAUAAAACAUUCAACAUUUUAUUUUUAUAAUGAGAUGACAUUAGAACCUGAUAAGGUUGAACGUUGGUGGUCCAAUCGAUCAUUGAACCUUCCUGUGCAAGAUAUUUUUACUCUCAAAAAUAUGCUUUAAAUAAAAUAUUCAACAUUUUUUUUAUAAUGAGAAGUCAUUAGAACAUGAUAAGGUUGUUGGUUGUCCAACUGACCAAGCGGUAAGGGAUUGAACCUUCCUAUACAGGAUAUUUUUACUCACAAAAAUAUACAUUAAAUAAAAUAUUCAACAUUUUAUUUUUAUAAUGAGAAGGCAUUAGAAACUAAUAAGGUUGAACGUUGGUGGUCCAAUCAAACAAACAGUAAGGGAUUGAACCUUCCUGUGCAGGAUAUGCAUUAAAUAAAACAUUCAACAUUUUAUUUUUAUAAUGAUAUGACAUUAGAACCUGAUAAGGUUGAACGUUAGUGGUCCAAUCGAUCAUUGAACCUUCUUGUGCAAAAUAUUUUUACUCACAAAAAUAUGCGUUAAAUAAAAUAUUCAACAUUUCCUUUUUAUAAUGAAUCGUUAGGAACAUGAUAAGGUUGUUGGUGGUCCAACUGACCAAGCGGUAGGGAUUGAACCCUCAUGUGCAAGAUAUUUUUACUCACAAAAAUAUGCAUUAAAUAAAAUAUUCAAUAUUUUAUUUUUAUAAUGAAAAGCUAUUAGAAUCUAACAAGGUUGAAAGUUGGUGGUCCAACUGACCAAGAACCUUCCUGUGCAUGAUAUUUUUACACACAAAAAUAUGCGUUAAAUAAAAUAUUCAACAUUUUAUUUUUAUAAUGAGAUGGCAUUAGAACUUGAUAAGGUUGAACAUUGGUGGUCCAAUCGACCAAGCGGUAAGGGAUUGAACAUUCCUAAAAGUUCUCAAAACAAAAGACAUGCCUUUAGAAAUUAUUAUGAAAUUUUUUGCUCUUGUUGCAAAACCUAGUAUUGAUCUGAAGUAGCGAUGUCGAGACUGAGCGUGUGUCUGGUUCCUCGUGGUUUCAUGGGAAUGUCGCUCAGCCCCACAGUGGGUGCCAAAUGUUUCGAUUAAUAUUGUUCGAGGUUCGGUCGUCCUUCCUUACUCUGCUUUCUUUCGGUUGUUCAAUCAUCUCCGAGAACGCAAUCCACUCUGAUGGGUUGUUGACCUACAGAAGACACUCCGACGCGGAUAGAUCAAAGUUCUUUUACCUGGACAUUAACCCUACAUUUAUAGGGCUUAUAGCAAUCAAGCUCAUUAAUUAAUCAUCAAUACCGUAUAUUUGUAAAGUGUAAGACAAUCUAAUUCAUUAAUAUCUGCUAACUACCCAUAAAUAACCAUUAAUUUCAAUCCGUAUAUUUCAUACAGGACAAAACCAUUUCUUUACUCAUUGUAGAACUUGUAUGAUUUCCUUGAAUUGCAUUCUGUUGCAUCUUGAAUGAUCGGUAGAGAUGCAUGUCAUAUCUUGAAAGCUGGUCAUGAAUUUUAUUGCUGUAGGAUAUACCCGUUGUUAACUCUGAUAAAUAUGAUACAAUCAUAAACCUAGCUGAACAAGUGUUACUUCACGGUUCUACACAAAGUGUGUUUCUAGUCAUAUGAUUGUCGCAAGACGAUGUCUUUCUUUAGUUUAUGGUUACGCUUGCUGACUUUGGUUGGGAGGCACGAAACAGUUUGGCAAUAGAGAAUAAUCGAAGGUUUGGUAUAUAGAACCAUUUAUUCCAUGUUAUCUAGCUUUGUAUUUUAUUUAUUUGGCCAUAAUUCAUUAUGCUUGUAGUUAAUUUAAAUCAUUUUGACUCUGCCACAUGUCGUAGCCCACUAAGUUUUGUUUCUAGCAUGCUCUCUGUUAGGUACAAUUAUAUAGUAUAAGUAUUAAUAAAAAAUAAGACUGAACUAAGACUGUUUUUCUUUCUUUUUAUCAAACGGUGCAAAGGUUUAUUGGUUUAAUGUAUCUGAAUAGUUGGCUUCAAAGAGCGUCUUGCAAUUUUUCUUUUUCUUUUUUUAUAUUUUCUUUUAUUAAAACUGCACAGUUUUUUUAGAGCAUGGGCUUGUUUAUACAAUGAUUUUUAAAAUAAUAACAGAUAGGCAUGCAUUAUCAUAUGAGUGGAAUUUUUUUUUAUUACAUUAUUCCCUUGGCCAGAACUUUUGGCAUGAAGGUGAUGAUUAUUCACACAAAGUAUUCUUUAAUUAGUAUAAGGGUUAUUUCUAAACAAUAUUAUUUUAAUGAAUACGUGUAGAAUCAAGUGUGUGUUUCUAUACAAUGGUGGAAAUUGUUUUCCUUACUUUAAUUUGAUAAAAUAUGUGUUUCAAAAUGGCUGAAGGAAAUUCACAGUUGUAUAUUGUGAGUGGACUAGGAAUGAUUCUUUUGUGCAGCAAUCUGCCCAUGCAAAAUGAAUGAGACUUGCACCCCAUUAAACAACCUUUUCCCUUUCUACAACAUAGUAAAAAGGUCGAAUUUUAGAAAUUUACUGUGACCAGUACAGAGGUCCAAACAUUUCGAGUUAGUAGUCAUUGAAAAAAAAAUUUGAGUCUACAUUUCAAUCCAAAAAGAAUAAUCUCUUUGGAGUUAGGUGUAGAAAGCUACAAAUAAAACAAGUACCAAAGGUCGGAAAUGGCAGACAAUGAAAAACGUUAAACUUUAAAGAAUUUAAUUGUACUUGAUGAAAUGUUUAAAAAUUACGAGUGAGUAGUCAUUGAAAAUAUUUUUUAGUCUAGAAUCCAACAAAACAAAAAUAAACUCAUUUGAAGUUCUGUAAAAAAAAUAAAUAAAACAUUGAACAAAGGUCGAAGUUGACAACACUUUGUCUUGAACGUGUUUUUGGAUUUUAAUGCAAAUUGACAUGUGGUUAGUUUCUUUGAGAUUUGAUAGAAUAGCCUUGAUGAUUCUCUAGUUUUAUCGUGAAUAACCAGGGGAGAUUUAUGUUUUAUCUCGGUAGUUAAAAGAAUAAUUCCUUUUACCUGUGUAAGGCGAUAGGUGGAUUCAAGUCCUGCUAUUUUCCUAUUUCGAGGGAAUACAAAUAAAUGUCUCGCUAUAGGUUUAUGUCUCGUACUGAGUAUUGUGUUUGGUGAAUGGAUGUUACUUACCAAUGUUUUUACUCAUAAUACCUUGAAGAAUAAGGGAGAUACGUCUGAAGUUGCGUGUGGAGGACGACUUUAUCCACGGUCCAUAUGAGGGACCGGUUUUGAUAUAUGUCUAUCAAAUGUAAUUAUAGGAUAGAACCGAGAUAGGUCCAAUAGCUAAGUGUGAAGGACCAGUGUCCAUUAGGUGUGUGUGAAGGACAAAAAUCGAUAAGUCUAAUAUCUAAGUGAGAGGGAUGGAAAAUGGAGGGAGACUCGUGUUCAUUUAUUGUUAUUAUACGAUACAAUAUCAGGGGAUAACACUUAAUGUUAUUAUUAGAUGUUUGAAGUGUGAAAAUAAGUUUAUUUAUAAUUUAUGUUUCUCUAUACUUGGUUAGCUCACCCUAUUUAUAUGCCUACGAUGAUCGUAUAACUCAUGUCGUUAUACGGGAAUAGAUAAUGUUUCAGGUAAAGCUGAAGAAGUUUAGUGCGGGGAUGCGUUGGAAAAACUCUAUGGGACUUUUAAAAUAUGUAUUUUAAAUUGUGAAAUGUGUGUUUUGUAAUUCUAAACAGUUUUUAAGAUUCGGUCUAUAUUUCAAUAAUUAUUCUUGAAAAUUUUCAUGUUAUUAUUAUGUAAUAAUAUUAAAAGUUAUGACUUUAAAUGUCAUCGAAUAUUAUGUAAAUUUUUUUGUGACACUCUAAAAAAGGGUGUUACAUAAGGUGUUAGACGCGUCUGAGUUGUUAGACCUAGACUGUCUUCGGUGUUAUACCGUCUAGGGUGUUAGACUAUUUGGGUUGUUAGACCGCCUAGGGUGUUAGACGCGUCUGGGAUGUUAUACCGUCAUGGGUGUUAGAUGCGUUUAGGGUGUUAGAUCGUUUGGGGUGUUAAACGCAUUUGGAGUGUUAGACUGUCUAGGGUGUUAUACUAUUUGAAAGUGUUAGACUAUCCAGGGUAUUAGACAUGUCUGGAUUGUUAGACCGUCUGGGAUGUUAGACCAUCUUGGGUGUUAGAUGCGUCUAGGGUGUUAGACGGUCUAGAGUGCUAGAGGGUCUAAUGUGUUGGAUCGUCUAGGUGUUAAACGUGUCUGGGUGUUAGACGCUUGAUCAUCUAGGGUGUACAAGACUUAAACAACAAGAUCAUUUCAUUUUCAAUAUCUAUCUUUAACCGGUUCAUUCUUUAAAUCUUCAAAACUUCUCUAAACAUCAUCAUCAUUAUCAAAAUUCUUUAUUAAACCCUCUUCUUCUUUUUCUAGUAGUUAUACAAUAAGUCGCCUGGGGUGUAACAGAGUUGUUAGACGAUGUGGAUGGAUCGCCUUAGGGUUAGGCUGAGUUGUUAGACGAUGGAUCAUCGGUUAUAAAAUGUUUUAUAAUUUACUUGUGGCCUCUUAAAAUGGAGUAUUAAAGAAGGCGUAGAGAGCUUAGCCUUGGAGAAGCUUAGCCGAAAGAGUUCAUAGAGCUUGGUUGAAGGAGUUUAGCCAUGGAGAUUUGGGCUAAAUGAGGUCAACCCUAAGAGAUCGGCUGAAAGACCUCGUCCUUUGAGGAGCUCUACCUUGGAGGAGCUUGGCUGAAGGAGUUCAGAUAACUUGGUUGAAAGAGCUCAACCUAGAGGAGCUCGAUCUCGGGGAGCUCAGCUUAUGGGAGCUCAGCCUAGUGGGAGAUCGGCUUGGAGGAGCUCGACGCGGAAGCUCGACACGAAAGUUUGGCCUGGAUAAGCUCCAUCUGAGGCUGCUAGACCUACCGAGCUUGAUCUGAAGGACCUCAGCUUAGGGAAGAACUCGACUUUGGGGAAAGUUGGGCCAAGUGGGAGAGCUCGGUUGUAAGGGAGAGCUUGGCCUUGAUGGAGAGCUCUUGGAGAAGAAUUUAGCCUUGAUGUAGAGCUUAGCUUGGAGAGCUCGAGCUAGAGAGCUUUGCCUGAAGAGCUCGGCUUGGAAAGCUCAACCUACAGAGCUCGGCCUAGAGAGCUCAACCUAUAGAGCUCGGCCUAGAGAGCUCAACCUAUAGAACUCAGCCUAGAGAGCUCAACCUAUAGAGCUCAGCUUGGAGUGCUCAACCUAAAGAGCUCAGCCUAGAGGGGUCGGCCUAGAAGAGGUCGCUCUAUAAGAGUUCUGCUUAAAUAUCUCGACCCUAAGAGCUCGAUUAGAGGAGCUCAAACUGGACAAUUGGGCUUGGGGAAUUCAAUCUAAGUGAACUCAGCCUAUGAGAGCUUGACUUGAAGAAGCUCAGCUUGCAAAAGGUUGGCUUAAAAGGAGCUCGGCCUAGGAGAGCUCAAUUGAUGGAGUUUGAUCGGGAUAGCCUAGCUUGAGAGUUCAACCAAGAAGAAUUUAGUUCAAGAAAGCUCGAUUUAAAGGAACUCGAAUUAAUAAAACUCAUCUUAGACAACUUAACCUAUAAAAACUUAACCUACAAAAAUUCAGUUUGUCAUAAUUCGAUCUAAUUGAACUUAUCUAAAAGAGCUGAUACUUAAAAACUCAAAAACUCAGUAUAUAAUUAAACUUAUUAAAAGAACUAAUCGUGAAAAAAUUAACCAAACAUACAUACAAUACAAUUAUUUUAAUAAUGAGAGUUAUAAGUAUACAACUUAGUUUUUAUAAUAUCUAAUUACUUACCAAUUUCACUACUUUAUUAUUUUUAUAUACAAAAUAAAAACGAUUAUUAAAAAAAAAAAAAUGCAUGUGAGUGGGCUGAGAGAAACAAAGAAGAGAAAGAGAUAGAAGCUUAUUUGGGAGGAACAAUCUUCCUUUCUUUCAUUUGUUUUCUUUCCGCAAUUGUGACUCCAGUACGUGACACAAUUAUCAAAGUUGUCAUGGGCAUAACAUAAAGCACCAACACUCAAAAUCAGAAACCAUACAUAACUUUUCAUCGUUACACUCCGAAUCCUCUCCAAUUUUUUAUCUUCUUCUUCUACGAUCACGAGAACACAGCUCCAGGAUCCACUUCAUUUUCACUCUUCAUAGACCCAACCAUCAAUGUUCGUCUUCUCGGCACCGUCUAACCCUUGCCGCCCUUGCCUUGGCCCGUUCGCUUCUCCUCUCGGCGCCCCUUCAUAGAGUCGCCGCGCACCCCCUCCGUUUCCGGAGUCGAUGAGGACAAUUCGCCUCCGAUCUCAGGUAAGCCCGAUCCUCUCCUGACCUUGCUCUGUAUCCCCUGUUUUAAUCCCUUUAUCUUUAUAGUUUGGUCUCUGUCAGAUUCACUGCUUAGAAUUUUGUUUGAUAAUAGUUCGAAUUUGGUGUGUUCCGGAACUUGUGUUUUGGGUAGAUGUGAUUUUAGUCUGUACCUGUUUUUAUGAAUUCUGUGAGUUUUAUGUGGAAUCGAAGGAAGCCUUUCUAGAAUGUUGGUGACAAGACCUGUUUCCAAUGGGAGGAAGGACGUUUUUGGUUGUUGGAGUGAGGUUCUGGAAAAUCAUUGAUUGAUUGUGUAACUGGUUUCAUUGAUGAAGUUUAUUUCUGCUCAUUAUGGAUUGUAGUGGUCGGAUUAAUAUAAUAUAAUUUUGGGUUUUGCUCUAUUCUUUUUAUUCGUUGGUAGCAUGUUUGUGAUUGUUUGAUUGUGAAUUUUCUGGGCUUGUUUCCAGUUCAUGUUCUUGCGUUUUCUGAGUUCAUUUUGUGGUGGUGUGACGAUCCUCGAUUGCAUCUGCUGUUUCGAUUCUUUUGAUGUUAAUUGCAUUUGAUUGGGGUACUCUUUUGAUGCUACAUAGGUGCAGUGGUUUUGUUUUGAUAUAUACACGACCGUGGGAUUCGUGCUUCUUAUCAUAAUCUUAGUCGUUUUUUGUUUUUAUGAUGCUAAUAAGGGUUGUACAUGUAUAUGUGUGCCUAUGACUGAAACGAUUGAAAUGAUAGUGAUGUUGUGAAAUAUAUAAAUGAUAUUAAAUUCUAUAUAUGUGAUAAAUGUUGUAAUUUGUGUAAGUUAUAUGAUAUAAAUUGAUUAUAUAUUUAAUUUGAAUAUUAAGAAAGUCACUCAAGAAAUAUGGGAAAGAAAUUGUUGAUAGUUUUUUAUUUUGAUCCAAAUUAUAGUAACACAUUCCAUACUAAGAUUUUGGUCCAUUAACAGAUUAUAAAAUUUAAUAAAGAUCAUUUGUUAAGUUUGUUUAAUUAUCAUUUAUAAGAUGCAUGAGACGAUAAAUAGAUAUCAAUAACUCAUAUUUUCUCCAUGAACAUUAAAUGAUGAUGAAUAUCUUAUUUUUUUCUUUUAUAAUUUUUUUUAUUACAUGUAUUACUAUAAGAUUUUGUCAUUGGAAAAUUUCACCAACUUGACUACCAAUAUUUUGUUACAAAAAUCUUUCUAUGACAACAAAAGCAAAAUCAAUAAAGUUCAUUAUACAUGGUCUAUGAUCAUCUAACAAAUUUUUUUAUAACCAUCUAAGAUAAAGUUUUCAUUUAAAUUUAUGAAUAAAAUAAUAAUUUAAUAUGAUAUUAAAAAUAUGAUACCUAUUAUUUUAUAUGGUGGUGAAUACGAUAUAAAUAAUAUCAUUAGAAUUAAAUUUGGAGAUUCUAGAACUCUCAGAUUCUCUUGUGACAAAAUAAAUUUCAGUUACUGAUUUGGUUGUUAUAUAAAUAAAUUUUAUUAUAGUUGCUAUUUUGAUAAAUUUUUUUAUUGUAACAAAGAUUAUAUUAUUUAUAUCAUAUUCAUAAAAUAAAAGGUAUCAUCUUUCCAAGAUCAAAUCAAAAUACUAUUAUAUUUAUAAAUUUAAAUGAAAACUUUACUUCAGUAUUUUUUUAAUAGUUCACUGGAUUUAUAAUUAGAUGGUUGAGAAAAGAAAUUGUUAGAUGGCCAUAAUCCAUGUAUAGUAAAUUUUAUGGAUUUUGCUUUUGUUGUCAUUGAGAUAUUUUCAUGACAGAAUCUUGAUGUCUAGUUUGUGCAAUCUUCUAAUUUACCAAAUUCUCUAGUAGUAUAAUAUAAAAAAAAAAAAAAAACACUAUGUAAGCAAAAAUAAAGAUAUUCAUUAUAAUUGAAUGUUCAUACGAAAUUAAUGAGUUAUUGAUCUUUAUUUAUAGUCUUGCAUGACCUAAUUAAAUAAACUUAAUAAAUAGAAGUCAUUAAAUUUGGUAAUGUGUUACAAAAUUUCAUCCUAGAAUGUGUUAUUAUAAUUUUAUCGAAAUAAAAGAACAAUUAUAUCAACAUAAUUUCUUUUCACAUUUCAUUGAUUUUUUUAAUAUUUAAAUUGAAUGAUAUAUAUAUAUAUAUAUAUAUAUAUAUAUAUAUAUAUAUUAUCAUUUUCAUUUUAAAGUUAAAUAAUUUAAACUUAUGAUUUAAUUUUUAAAAUUCUAAGACAUAAUGUUAAUAAAGACCCUAAUCAACUGUAAGCCUAAUUCAUGCAUAAUGUAAGACAUAUGCCUUGUUCUUUGUCAAAAACGAAACAAUAUUAUUGAAAAUUUUUAGUAAAUUCAUGAAAGUAUGCUAAAUUUAUAUCCUUGAAAACUAGUUCUACUAGUAAUAUAAUAAAUGAAAUUACCAAAUAUCUUAGACUUAAUUUAGAAUACAGUUAGCGUUAUUAAAUUUAUACCAUUGAAAAAUACAAUUAAAUUAUUACUGUAUUUAAUCAAAUAUAUAAAUUUUUGAACAUUAAUAUUAAGAAACUAUCUCAAGUUCAAAAAUAAUUCCAGUUAGACUCUCAAGUGAAUUGUACCAUCACACAACACCUAAAAACACUAAUUGAAAAAGUUGAAAUGCACAUUAGAAAAAUAAAUUAAAUAUUGGUUUAGACUAAUUAAAAGAAUUAUAGUAAAAUUUGUCACACCCCAUUUAAUACCCCUCCUUAGUGGGGUACACAUGUCAAACCGUCCGAUCUUCCCUGAUAAGUGGGAGACCAACUCUGCUAGUAAUUAAUUCCCUUUCCCCGUGAUCCGUGUAAUAGUAGAAGGAAUGUGAACUUCCAGGAAGUGGAAGUCAGGUGGCAAGCUGGGAAUGGGCUGGACGUUCUUAGUGGAGGCAGUAUUUAAGGUGAGAUUGAAACCUGACGCCACUUUUCUCAUGCAAACUUUCUUCUUCCUCAAACUCCAACUUCCUGAAAACUCAAAAUCUCCUUCUUCUCUCUAAACUUCCCAACUUUCUCUCUAGAUUUCUGACCUUCAUUUCUUCUCCGAUCACUUGCAUCCAUUCAGGGUUCUUACUACCGGCACCAAGCCCUUCAACUUGCACCAAUCCAAACCUCAUUCUGAACUGGUAAGUGUUCCGGACCCUUGAAGUUACUUGGUCUUCUUGCAUGCAUGCACCAGUAAAGCUUGCAUGUAACUGUUAAACCAUUUCUCUGAACCUACUUUUGUAUUUAAUUCUAGAGCUUUAGAAACCUUAGAAGAGAUAGUUGCUGCCAACCAACAUUAAACGUACUAGCUGGAAUUAGAGGUAAGGGAAGCUUAUAAAGUUUAAUUAUGAUUUCUUUGUAUGGUUGGUUGCUGGAUCUAAUGUAUGUUUGAUGAUUUUAAUGGCAUGAUAAAAAUGUGAUAUGUUAUUGUAUGAAUUGUAUGAUAUGUCUGAGUUUAAAUUCUGUAUUUAGUAUGAACGGAUGAAACUUAGAGAAAAUAUGAAUUUGUGAUCGAAGGUCAUUAGGAUCAUUCGGUACUCCCCUUUUUACCAUCCGGUCCAUUCGGACGGUUCGGCAUAGUGAGUUUACUAAAUUCAGUUUGGUUCAUUUAAUAUUAUUAUUGAUAAUUACUUAAGAACGUUGGUCAUAAACCAAGUGUUCGGUCUUACAAGUGUUCGGCCUUAGGCUAACACUUAGUUUAUGAAGCAUUUGAAUUUAAUAUUCUUCCUAGCCUUCGACCAUGUUAAGAGCGGUCUUAUACCAAUACUUAAAUCCUUAAAAACGUUCGGUUUAUAACAUUCCUUGCCAGACCGUCCGGAUGACUAUCACUUAUAGCCCAUCCUUUGGUGUCCGGUCUUAUUCCUUGUCGGACCAUCCGAUCACUAUUAAUCAUAAUUCAAUCUGUGGUAUUUAGUCCUGUUUAUUGCCGGACCAUCCGGUCAACUAUUCAUAAAUCCUUCUAUGGCAUUUGGUUCUAUUUUGUGUCAGACCAUCCGGUCCAAUCUUCUUGUUUACUCAAAUCUCUCAUUCUAUCAUUGACCGUCCGGUCAUUUUCUUAACGUCCUUCUUUUGUGAACGUGAUAAUGAACAUUGAUUGAAUUUGGCUAAGUAAGGGAAUUCCAAUGGAGGAAUGUCUCAUGAAUUGGUGAUGGUUGGUAAAGUAUGAACAUGGUCAGACUCUGGUUGUCGUCCUGAUCCUGAUAUUCCGUGAUGACGCUUUCUCAUGUAGAGAAAGGUUACUCAUGUGUGGGAAUGACAGGAGGUCCGCGGUCAUAAGAUCAGAUGAUCAUUGUAGGACCAACCUCGGGUGGCAGUUGAUAGUUCAGGCAACUACUACACCACACCGGGUGCUAGGGACGUCGAGCUACGUGGUUCAUACCGUCCGGACAGUGUCUUAGUGGUCGGUCAUGAUUAAAGGAACGUAGUAUGCAUGUGUAGUAAUUGUGUGUAUGAAAUGUUGAUUGGUUUCGGUUUGUAUGUUUACUUGUAUGAUUGAAAUGAUUAAUUAAAUUUACAUAAGCUUACCCUUAUCUGUCCUGUCUUUGUGUAUGUUGUCGUUCGGUAUUUGACCGUCCGGUUAUUCCCUUCAAUGCAAUGAUCAUCCUUUUGGGUGUGAGCAGAGGGUAUCUUGGAGGACACCUUAGAGGAUACCUUGGAAGAUGUUGUGCAUGUCGAGCAAGCAGUGGAAGCCAUGCCGGAGAGCUGUGUCGGACCGUCUGGUCCUUAGAAUAGUUUUCUUUCAUCUUUUAGUAUAGAUAACCGUCCGGUUAUGUUUUGUAAAACCGUUCGGUCGAACUUCUAAAAUCUAUAUUCAGCCUUCACUAUUGUACAGUUUUAAAAUUUCAGUGUUAUUUCUACUUCCUUCAUCCACCUAUACUUAUUCACCACUGUUCUCACUUAUUAUUCAUGUUAACUCCUAAAAUGGAUUGUAACUUCUGUUAUAUAUUUAUUGGGAUGUUACAAAAUUAACAAAAUCAAAAACUAAAAUUUAUUCCAGAAUUAAGAAUUCUGUAAUAAAUUUGAUUAAAUGGAAUUAUUAAUGUUAAUAUUCAAUAAUUAGUAUAUUUGAUUAAAUACAAUUAUAAUUAUAAUUUUAUUUUUCAUGAAUUUAAUAAUGCACCAUGUUUUAUAAUUUAAGUCUUAGAUAUUUUGUAAUUUCAAUUAUUAUGUACAUAAAUUUCUUUUUAAGAAUAUAAUUUUAACACACUUCCAAUAAUUAAUUAAAUGUUUUCAGUAAUAUUGUUUUAAUUUUUGAAAAAGAGCUAGAAGUAUGUCCCUCAAGCUUUACAAGCAUGGAUUAUGUUUAUGAUUGUUAGGGUCUUUAUUAGCAUUUAUGUUAGGUUUAAGUAUUUAAAAAAAAAUGUACUUAAAAUUAUUUAUUCUUUAAAGUUAAAUUGACUAUAUAUAUAUAUAUAUAUAUAUAUAUAUAUAUAUAUAUAUAUAUAUAUAUUCAAUUUGAAUAUUAAGAAAGUCUCAUAAAAUUUGAAAAAAACAAUAUUGUUGAUAGCUUUUUAUUAAGAAAGUUAUAGUAACAUUAUUCUAGAAUAAAAUUUUGUUCAACUAACAAAUUACAAAAUUUAAUAAAGCUAAUUUGUUAAGUUUUUAAAAGAUAAAUGAGAUUAUAAAUAAAGAUUAAUAAAGCUGGUUUGUUUAAUUAACAAAUUACAAGAUGAUUUGUUGAAUUAACAAAUUACAAAAUUUAUAGUUUUAAUCGAUUAGAUUAAAACAGAAAAUUGGGCUUAAUCUAUUAAGAAAUUAAUUUAAUCGAUUAAAUGUAUCAAUUUUUAUAUUAUAUUAUAUAUAUAUAUAUAUAUAUAUAUAUAUAUAUAUAUAUUCUAACUUGUUUUAAUUACAAAAAGUUGUCUUUAAACAUUUUUGAAGUACAACCAAACAUUUUACAUUUUGAAAUCUGAAAGAUCUAGAAGGUUCCAAGAAGAAAGGAAGAAAGUGGUUACAGGUUUCCAAGAGGACUGCGGUGGUUUUCAUAUGUGAGAUGUGCACAUAGUGGUGUAUCCAGAUUUUGUUUUUUUUGGUAUAAAUUUUGUAGUUGCCUUGGCUAAGGAGGCAAGGUUGUGAGAGAGAGAGAGUGAGUGUUGGUUGAGUCUCUUUUGUUUGUAAUUCUUUGUAUUAAAGUGUGUAAGGAUACAUUUGAAAGUUUUUUUUUUUUUUAAUUUUUUCAAUUAAGGUUGUUGAAGAAGAAUUAGAUAUAGACUCAGAUUUUGUUAUAUGAUCUUAUUUAAAUUUCUGCAUUUUCUUUUAUUGAUUAAAAUAUUUUAUAAACAGGUUUCAAGAACUUUAGUUUUUCAAAGAAUUGUUAAAAGCUAUUUUAAAUCCAAUUUAUCUCUUGAAUUUAGACGGACAUGAAUGUUAAUAAAGUUUCUAAUAAAUCAUAAACAUACUUCAUGCGACGUGUAAAACGUAUGCUUUUUUUUAAACAAUAUUAUUAAAAACUUUUAAUUAAUUCAUGAUAGUAUGCUAAAUUUAUAUCUAUGAAAAUCAGUUGCAUAACAAUUGAAACUAUAUAAUAUGAUAUUUAAUUUAGAACACAAGGAACAUUAUUAAAUUCAUGCCAUAUAUUUCCUACAUGUGACAUUCUAAUUAUAUUCCAAUUAUAUAAAAAGGGCAUACAUAAUUAAAACGUCAUGAAUAAUAUUAUAAAGCAGUUAAGAAUAGAAUGAUAGUUAAUUAAAGGAUUAUAGUCAUCCUUAAAACAAUAUUUAGAAUUUGGAAAUGGAGUACUAAAGUUCCUCCCUGGAAAAUACAAGGGAUUAAAACUUAGAACAUGAUAAGUUCUUCAAAAUAAAAGGCUAAUCAAGUGAAGCCUGGUGGACUAAACUGCAAGACUGCCAUCCCCGUCAAGAGUUGUUUCCAAGCUAACCUCCUCGUCAUCUACUCUCAUCCAAGUGAAUGAACAUCGCAAAAGAAAACAAUGCAAACAUGGCACAAACACAAGCAAGUAAGGGUGAGCUAAUUAUAUAAAAAGCAUGCAAUUAUACCAACAUGAACAUACUAGAUUCAACCCAAGUAAAGUAUAUACAAGCAAGGCAAUAUAUACAACACAGGUCCUAACAUGUUAUCUUUUAGACUUGACUCGUCCAGACUUUAGAAUGAUAGUCGAGCUAUGGCGAGUCAUGCACCCGUGGUGGCUUGUGAUACUUAGGCUCCCCCACCUUGGGCUCCCCCGCCCUGCCACACUCACGAGGUUAGUUUGUUCCGCGCCUUGGAGCAUGAUGGAAACCUCCAAGACUAAGACCUCCUACUACUCCUCACCACAUGGUCAGCCUUCUCUACAUGAGAAGAAAGACCUUUGGAGCGUCAAGAAGACCCCAAGACUGAGCUCCUACUUUCAUUCUAAAACACUAAAAAUCUCACCAAGAGAUUUUUACAAUUAAACCACCACCAAUAACCUUGAAACCAUGUUUAUUUCUUUCCCUAAUUCAUAUACCUUUAUGGUCACAUACUUUCAAGUUAACAACAUCACCUCAAUCAUAAUUUACAUUGAAAUCAUUCCACAUACAUUUCCAAACAAUAACAAACCCAGAAGAACCACUAAACACCACAAGAUCUCGUAAACUCAUACUUAGACAAAGAAAACAACUUUGAAACCAUCACCAACAGUUUCAGAAGGGUCAAAACCCCCCAAAACAACCUAAAGAACGUCCAAAAAUGAUACCCGAAACCCCGAAAACCACCAAAAACUGUUAUGGAUGAUUUUUAGACAACAAUAAUCGAUUAUCAGAUGUAAUAAUCGAUUAUCAUAUGUAAUAAUCGAUUAUCAUUUAUAAUAAUUGAUUAUUUACGAGAACUUUGAAGAAAAUAUGAUGUUAUGACUAGGAUAAUCGAUUAUCAAGUGAGAUAAUCGAUUAUCAAGUGAGAUAAUCGAUUAUCAAUUGAGAUAAUCGAUUAUUCUUAUCAGUUUUUUACAGCAAACUGAUUUUUUUCUAGUUUUGGUGCAUCUAAAACAUAUCCAAAUGAACAAUUUAAAAUCUGUAAGACUAAUAUUGAUAAGAAACAUAUUUAUAGAUGAAAGUAAAGUAUUGCAUUAGUUAUUUCGAUAAGAAUUAGAUGUACUAAACUAACUCAAAUUUUAUUCCCAACAUCAAACUCAAUAACUAGAGGACCCCAAACUCAAUUCUAACACUUUGUCCCUAUUUUGACCAAUUUGGUGACUCAAACAAGUCACAAUUCACUUGCUAAGACUGCCCCAACAGUCCAAGUGCACUCAAAACCCCAAAUGCUUAAAAUCACCCUCUCACUUCCCUCCAAUCCACCUAUAAUGUGUUCCUAAUUAUUAAUCUGCUUAACUGAACAUCAUAGAGAUCUACCCUUUUUCCCCCAAUCCCGCUUACACCUCAAUUGGUCACCGGAGAGAAAAUAGAUGUCUGACGCAUCAGACUCACCUUCGGCACCAGCACAUAUGACUAGUCACAACUGACUGGACCAGGCCAGGGCUACUCUAUGAUCAGGGAUGUGCCAGCUCUGAUUUUUAGGUUUCCUCUAUCCUACCAACAAAGAAGGUUCCUAACAGGUUCAAUUGACUUAUUUAAAUUAUCCUAGUUGCACUACAGUGUUCUUAAGCCUCAAUUACCCCUAGUCAGUACUUCACUUCCCCUCACAGAUCCUAAAAUUCUACACAGCCCAUACCCUUCAUCAAAUCCUCAGUACAAUCAAAUUUCCAGUAACCACAACAUGUUCAGCAUGUCAAUUUCCAACAUCCCAUCCAUUCAAAACAAGCCAACACAUACAAUACCAAAUCCACAGGUUCAUGCUUAAUAUUCCAGGGCAUAUCAUCUUACAUUUACAAAAGCAGCAUAUUUUCAUAUCAACCAUUACACAAACCAGUUCAACAUAUAUUCCCAUCAAUCAAAAUACCAAUCAAUAAGCAAUAUAUUUAUCUAUAUAGUUAGCUCCUCUUAUCUUUUUGGUGCUCAACACAGUUCACAGUACAUGCCCCAAAAGUACCCUUACAGUGCUGGACUCACAGAACCUACAAUCACCAAAUUGGCGAUAAAGUAAUGUCCUCAAAGUUUGAAUUGGCAGGAAACACAAGGGAAAGUAUGCUAGUAGCAAGCAACCUGUAAAGUUGCAUGCCCUAGACAUCAAAACAGUGAAGGGAAAGGGGGAAGUCUACUUACCCGAUGAAACGCGAAACCAAUCGGAUGGUUCUGUAGCUCUAGACUCCAGGAGCAAGGAAAUGUCACCAAAUUAAUAUUCAAUCGGUGGAAAUGGCAGGAAACCUAGAAAGAAAUCAGAGCACUUGAGUUAGGGCAAGGUUUCUGUUCUAGAGAGAGAUGAAUCUAUAAAAUGAAAUCUGACUUGCAAGGAAAGGACCUCUCCCAAGAUUCAAGUGUCCUUGAGUCAAUGGGCCUGGCUUGUCAAAUUAGAGCCCAAUAGCCCUAUAAUUUUUUUUAAGGCUCUUACACUACCCACAACUCUAUAUAUAUUAGUAACAUAAAAAACUUGUAACUCGUCACAUAGUCUCUAUUUUGUUGUGUUGACCUGGAACAGUCUGUGAAGAAGUUGAGCUGAUUGGUUGACUCGCCACCUAGAGAACCUGGAAACACAUUUGCAAAGGCUGGAACAGAUUGCACAUGAUGUUGACCUGUAACUAGCAGUUAACGAGACUAGCUAUGGACUAUUCCAAUUAAUAGGUUUCUUCCUAGGCUAGAGUAUAAAAGACCAAAAUCAGAAAACUUAAAAGAGUUUGUUUACAAUUCAGUUCACACAGUUUUGGAAUUAUUUUUAGUUAACUAUGUUAGGUUAGAAUUAGGAUUUUCAAUUCACUAAUUUCUUUUAUUAAAUUCUUUGUUCCAUUAAUUAAUUAGGAUCAUUAUAAACAUGUUUUCGCUUUCAUAUAGCCAAUUUAACCAAUUCUGCAUAGUAGAAUAGGAUUUACAUUGUGUUGUCAGAUUAACUAGUUGAUUCCGGAUUAAGAAUUCUGGAACUCAUCCACCUGUAUUCCGGAAUGCACUUUUAAGCUUCCGAAUUGCUCACUUUUUGUUAUAAUAUAACCCUUCUUCUUCCAGAUGCUUUCCACUGCUCCACCGCCACAGUUCUCAACACUCCCACUCAAUCUAUAUUGCAAACUCACUACGGUCACACUUAUCCGAUUUUAAAGAUAUAUUUAAGGAUUACGUCUUUCAUUUAACCAUUUUUCUAUAAAAGAGAGAAAAAUAUGCAGGACAAAGAUGUUUGAAAGUAAUCAAAAUUCUUUUUGUUAUAUGAUGAAAUUCUGUAACAUUCUCCACACAAAAAGACAAGAAAAUAGUUGUUUUUCGAUGACCACGUGUGGUGAGUUCAGCCUCAUGCCAGAUGCAAAAAUGAAAAUAAAACUUCUCAGCCAAAGCCUUUAAAUGCAAAUGCAUCCUUAAAAAACUAUACACAUUCAUAUAUCAAACUCAUUAAUUAUAUCUUCGUUUUAGCAAACAUGUGGUCUGUGAUAACGGAUCCCAUCAGAAACCUUUUUGCAAAUGUUCUUCACCAGUUCGUCCACAAAGACUUCCAUGAAGCAGUGGCCAAAAUGACCAUAAUAGAUGCUUUUCUCUUCAUUGUAUACACACAAUUCCUUCUACGUCAUAUUAUCAUAACAUGAAUAGAUGUUACAUUAGUGAUAGUAUUAACUAUGACAUCAUUUUCAAAGCAUUAAUUAAGUUGUGAUCAUCACGAAAUGAGUCUGUUUCAUGCAGAUUGUUCAUUCCAUUGACAAGCUGGGGAUAUGGCCUCGUCUGCCUGUUUUCUUAGGGCUAUUGUAUCUGGCUAUCAGACGACACCUUCACCAAGAGUACAACCUCUUCAACGUUGGAACAACACCAACUGGGAUUAGGUUCAGCCCUUCAGAUUUUCCAUACAGAACAGCUGAUGGAAAAUAUAAUGAUCCUUUCAAUGAAGUUGCUGGCAGCCAAGGCUCUUUCUUUGGCAGAAAUAUGCUCCCUGUUCAUCAGAAGAAAAAGGUCCACAAUCAUACAUAUAUAAUGCUAGUUAUAAUUUCAUAAAAUAUCAGCGUUUCUACUACUAGAUGAACUUAUAGUUUGUUGACUUGUUCCUUGAUGAUUGUGAAUUUUGAAGGCAUAGUUUUGUGUGUGUGUGCAGCUAUUGAAGCCUGAUCCAAUGGUGGUAGCCACAAAACUACUAGCCAGGAGGAAAUACAAGGAAACAGGGAAGCAAUUCAAUGUGAUUGGAGCUUCUUGGAUUCAAUUUAUGAUUCACGAUUGGAUCGAUCAUCUUGAGGAUACCAAACAGGUCCUAACUCUAUGACACUGUAACCAAUUUCUAAAACUUAUUUCAAUAUUACUUUUAAAUUUCAUGUAUAAAAAUAUUUAUAUUUGUCUAUUAAAAAUAUUUAUUUAUGUGAUAACUGCACAUAAUGAGCUUUUUUAUUUAGAUAUACAGUAGAAGAUAUUUAAUUUGUUCACGGAAUUUUGAUACAUAUAUGUAGAUUGAACUCACUGCACCAAAAGAAGUUGCAAGCCAAUGCCCUCUAAAAUCUUUCAAAUUCUUCAAGACUAAGGAAAUUCGCACUGAAUUCUAUGAGAUCAAAUCCGGAUCAUUAAACAUUCGAACACCUUGGUGGUAAGAUUUCUACUGCACUUUGCCUGAGCAAAAAGUUAAAAGUUAACGUUGAUAAGUUUAUCAUUCAUACUUCUUAUGACUGACUAAAUUUCAGAAAAAUUAGUUUUUAAAAUGCGGAUUAGAUCUCACCUAUAUAUUGUAAUAGAUUUCGAAAGAAAUGGAAAAAGGUUAUUUGACAUCAAUUUGUCCUUUCGAAAUGUCCUUUAGGAAUGUACUUAGCAAUGAUACUGACAGAACUUAUAAUUUGAAAAGUAGAAUUUAAAUUUAAAGACUGCAACUUGUGUAAUGGUUUGGCUUUUGGGUGCCCACGUACAUGCAUGCACAUAUUCAAUGUAAGGGGACACGAUAAUGAUCACAGGUAUCUGUACAAAAUAAGUAAUAGAUAUUAAUAACACUUUGAACUUCAAAGGGUCGGCGAAAGUUCUGUGAUUUGGUUAUACGUAGGUUGUCUUACACUGUGUCAAUAUCUUUGGUGGGGUGGUUUUGACAGUAAUGGCUUAUAUUGUGACUCAAGUGUAGUUUUUAAGUUUAUGAACACACUGAGUUGCCUGAAAAAAAAGAAGAAGACAUUUCCAUUAAGUGAGGAUAUGGUCGGUGAAAUAGGGAUGCAAGUGCUGUGUAUGGAAGCAAUGGAGAAGUUUUACAGAAAGUGAGGACAUUCAAAGAUGGAAAGCUAAAGAUAUCAAAGGAUGGAAACCUUCUGCAUAACGAAAAUGGAACAGCAGUUGCAGGUGACGUCCGCAACAGUUGGGCUGGUGUUUCAACUCUGCAG